rnacentral:rRNA from 1 species
AAGCCGAUGAGGGUAAAGCAGAAAUGCGAUGAAGGAGGCGCUCGUGCCCUAUCAGCUAGUUGGUGAGGUAACGGCUCACCGAGGCGACGACGGGUAGCCGGCCUGAGAGGGCGACCGGCCGCACUGGAACUGAGAUACGGUCCAGACUCCUACGGGAGGCAGCAGUGGGGAAUAUUGGGCAAUGGGAGGAAUCCUGACCCAGCAGCGCCGCGUGAACGAAGAAGGCCCUUGGGUCGUAAAGUUCUUUUGUGCGGGAAGAAGGAAGUGACGGUACCGCGCGAAUAAGCCCCGGCUAACUACGUGCCAGCAGCCUCGGUAAUACGUAGGGGGCGAGCGUUGUCCGGAAUUACUGGGCGUAAAGGGCACGCAGGCUGUGCCGUAGGUCGGCUGUAAUAGGAUGCGGCUUAGCCGUGUUAAAGCAGUCGAAACUGCGGUGCUGGACUACCAGAGAGGCAAGUGGAAUUCCCAGUGUAGCGGUGAAAUGCGUAGAUAUUGGGAAGAACAUCGGUGGCGAAGGCGACUUGCUGGCUGGUAACUGACGCUCCUGUGCGAAAGCUAGGGGAGCAAACGGGAUUAGAUACCCCGGUAGUCCUAGCGGUAAACGAUGAAUGCUGGGUGUGCGAGUAGAGAUACUGGCGUGCCGUAGUUAACGCGAUAAGCAUUCCGCCUGGGGAGUACGGUCGCAAGAUUGAAACUCAAAGGAAUUGACGGGGGCCCGCACAAGCGGUGGAGCACGUGGUUUAAUUCGAUGCAAACCGAAGAACCUUACCUGGGUUUGACAUGUAUGUGGUAGGAGGCGGAAACGCUGACGACUCAGCUUUCGGGUUGGGAGCAUACACAGGUGCUGCAUGGCUGUCGUCAGCUCGUGUCGUGAGAUGUUGGGUUAAGUCCCGCAACGAGCGCAACCCCUGCAUUUAGUUGCCAACAGGUGAAGCUGGGCACUCUAGAUGGACUGCCAUCGACAAGGUGGAGGAAGGUGGGGAUGACGUCAAGUCAUCAUGGCCCUUAUGUCCAGGGCGACACACGUGCUACAAUGGUUGGUACAGAGGGAAGCGAGCCUGUGAGGGUAAGCGGAUCCCGUAAAGCCAAUCUCAGUUCGGAUUGAAGUCUGCAAUUCGACUUCAUGAAGCUGGAAUCGCUAGUAAUCGCAGAUCAGCCAAGCUGCGGUGAAUACGUUCCCGGGCCUUGUACACACCGCCCGUCACACCACCCGAGCUGGGUGUACCCGAAGCCGGUGGCCUAGCCUUAGGGGAGGAGCCGUCGAAAG